AGGAGUGGAGCCUGCGGCUUAAUUUGACUCAACACGGGAAACCUCACCAGGCCCGGACACCGGAAGGAUUGACAGAUUGAGAGCUCUUUCUUGAUUCGGUGGGUGGUGGUGCAUGGCCGUUCUUAGUUGGUGGAGCGAUUUGUCUGGUUAAUUCCGAUAACGAACGAGACUCUAGCCUGUUAACUAGGCGCACUUCCGACAUCUCAAAGGCCCGCCGGCGCGGCGCGCGCCGCGAUCGCGCGCGGUUUUUACUGUCGGCGUACAAAUUAUUCUUCUUAGAGGGACAGGCGGCUUCUAGCCGCACUAGAUUGAGCAAUAACAGGUCUGUGAUGCCCUUAGAUGUUCUGGGCCG
rnacentral:rRNA from 1 species